CCGCCUUCGCCCGACAUCGGCACUUCCCCGACCACACCGACAACUCCAGGCGGUUGCGGCGGGUACAAUGCUCCACCCUCACCGUCCAGUGACACCUCCCCAACCACGCCUGGUGGUGGUGGUGGUGGCUACUAUGGCCCUCCCUCGCCGUCCUCUGAUACCUCCCCGACGACGCCUGGAGGCGGCAGCGGCGGAUGCAGUGCUCCCCCUUCGCCGUCCAGUGACACCUCCCCAUCGACGCCUGGAGGAGGAGGUGGGUACUACGGGCCCCCUUCACCUUCCAGUGGCACCUCUCCAUCGACGCCUGGAGGUGGUGGUGGCUACUACGGCCCCCCCUCGCCGUCCUCUGGCACCUCCCCGACGACGCCUGGUGGUAGCGGCGGCGGAUGCAGUGCUCCUCCUUCGCCGUCCAGUGACACCUCCCCAUCGACGCCUGGAGGAGGUGCUGGGUACUGCGGGCCCCCUUCACCGUCCAGUGGCACCUCUCCAUCGACGCCUGGAGGUGGUGGCGGCUACUACGGCCCCCCCUCGCCGUCCUCUGACACCACGCCUGGCGGUGGUGGUGGCGGGUACAGUGCUCCCCCUUCACCGUCCAGUGACACCUCUCCAUCGACGCCUGGAGGUGGCGGCGGGUACUAUGGGCCCCCUUCGCCGUCUUCUGGCACCUCUCCGACCACGCCAUCGGCGCCUAGUGGCGGCUACUACGGCCCUCCAUCGCCGUCCAGUGACACUUCACCGACAACUCCCGGAGGCGGUGGCGGCUACUACGGCCCUCCCUCGCCGUCCAGUGACACUUCGCCGACCACUCCAGGCAGCGGUGGCGGCUACUACGGCCCUCCCUCGCCGUCCUCUGACACCUCCCCGGCCACUCCAGACGUGCCAUUACCGCCUAUCAGCACAUCGCCGCCGUUCUCUCCGCUGACGCCAACACCGACUACCCCGACGCCCUACGACCCC
rnacentral:lncRNA from 1 species